rnacentral:rRNA from 1 species
CAGGCCUAACACAUGCAAGUCGAACGCGUCCUCGUUAAAAUAAGUUGAUGCUUGCAUUAACUUAUUUUAACAUCGGGACGAGUGGCGAACUGGUGAGUAACACGUGGAUAACCUGCCCUGAAGUAUGGGAUAACAUUUGGAAACAAGUGCUAAUACCGUAUAAUUAGUAAAAAUCGCAUGAUUUCUACUUGAAAGAUGGUUCUGCUAUCGCUUUAGGAUGGAUCCGCGGCGUAUUAGCUAGUUGGUGGGAUAAAAGCCCACCAAGGCGAUGAUACGUAGCCGACCUGAGAGGGUAAUCGGCCACAUUGGGACUGAGACACGGCCCAGACUCCUACGGGAGGCAGCAGUAGGGAAUCUUCCACAAUGGACGAAAGUCUGAUGGAGCAACGCCGCGUGAGUGAAGAAGGGUUUCGGCUCGUAAAACUCUGUUGUUAAAGAAGAACAAGUGUAAGAGUAACUGUUUACGCUUUGACGGUAUUUAACCAGAAAGCCACGGCUAACUACGUGCCAGCAGCCGCGGUAAU